AGUGAACGCUGGCGGUAGGCCUAACACAUGCAAGUCGAACGGCCGCACAGUAAGAGCUUGCUCUUACGGGUGGCGAGUGGCGGACGGGUGAGGAAUACAUCGGCAUCUACUUUUUCGUGGGGGAUAACGGAGGGAAACUUACGCUAAUACCGCAUACGACCUACGGGUGAAAUCAAGGGAUCUUGGGACCUUGCGCGAUUCAAUGAGCCGAUGUCGGAUUAGCUAGUUGGCGGGGUAAAGGCCCACCAAGCCGACGAUCCGUAGCUGGUCUGAGAGGAUGAUCAGCCACACUGGAACUGAGACACGGUCCAGACUCCUACGGGAGGCAGCAGUGGGGAAUAUUGGACAAUGGGCGCAAGCCUGAUCCAGCCAUGCCGCGUGGGUGAAGAAGGCCUUCGGGUUGUAAAGCCCUUUUGUUGGGAAAGAAAAGCAGCAGGUUAAUACCCCGCUGUUUUGACGGUACCCAAAGAAUAAGCACCGGCUAACUUCGUG
rnacentral:rRNA from 1 species